UUUGAUGCGUGCACUCUGGGGCUCCGUGGGCAGAAGGCUCCGGCUGCUGCUGGUGAGAAGCCACAAGUGCCAGGGCUGUAAAUCGCUGAGUCCACGCUGGCUCGUGCCCCGCCCCAGGCAGCAAUAAGAUCCUUCCGGAGGAGGGGUGGGGUUGCCUCGGAAUUCAGCAGAAGGUCUUAGGCAAAUGUGUAACUUGAGCUCUGGGCUUGCUGAGAAUUAUGCAAGGACCGCCCUCUGAGAGAUUUCUGAGGGGACCUGGAUCCACCGUGCCUGGGACAGCCAGGGAAACUGAGGCUUGGGAUGAUGAUGUGUCUUUGCCAAGGUCCUAAGCCGAUGGCAGAACCAGAUCUGGGAUUUUGAAUUUGCAUGGUGCCCUGGGAAAACCUCUGAUUUGAUGAAACACAACAGAAAACUGGUCUUGCUAUGUAGCCCAGGCUGGCUCAGAUACAUGGUGAUCCUCCUGCCUCAGCCUCCCAGGGGCUGGGAUUACAGGUGUGCAGCACCAGCUCUGGUUGAAAAUGGCCCCUUCUUCCAGUUCCCCUGCAAAUGUCCUAAGCUGCAGGUAGGACAACACUCCCCAAUUUAAAGAUGAACAACUGAAUCAGAAGAAUAGGUGUGGUGCCAGACAUCUGCAAUCCCAGUGCACUCGGGCGGUCGAGGCAGGAGGAUCUCUUCGAGUUCGAGACCAGCCUGAACUGCAUAGCGAGACCGGCUCAAAAAGCCAAACCCAAAACUCAAACAAAGCUUUAGAGGACCCUGUGGCCUGCAGGGAUUUGGAAAAGAUAAUUUCUCUCCACUUUCUUUAUGUUAAUUGAUCUUCAU